UACGUAGGGUGCGAGCGUUAAUCGGAAUUACUGGGCGUAAAGCGUGCGUAGGCGGUUUGCCGUGUCCUGUGUGAAAGCCCCGGGCUCAACUGGGGAGGGUCACGCGAUACUGAUCGACUCGAAGGCAGGAGAGGGUAGUGGAAUUCCUGGUGUAGCGGUGAAAUGCGUAGAUAUCAGGAGGAACACCUGUGGUGUAGACGGCUCUCUGGACCGCAACUGACGCUGAGACACGAAAGCGUGGGUAGCAAACAGG
rnacentral:rRNA from 1 species